AAGUUUAGGUUAGACAA
rnacentral:tRNA from 1 species